CUCUAUUCAUUUAACACUAUUACCUCUUGUCCUGUCACUAUACUCCCUGAUAGACAGUUACAAUUCCAAUUCCAUCAGUUCUCAUUCAGCUAUGGAUCCACCUCUAUGGGCUCUCUGUUACUCACAGGCUGGUCCUUCUCCAUGUACUUGAUGAUGCUGAGCCUGUUUAUCAGCCGCUUCUUGUUUGGAAGGGAAUCUGUACUAUUUCCUUGGAAGAAAAAGCACUAGUCUAUCCAGUAUGAAGAUAGGUUCCCAUUGGUGUUACUUACUCAAUGACUAGAGUUCUUUCUGUUUGCAGGCUUCCCUUUUUUAUAGGUCUCAGAACAGAAGGCAUUGAGGUAGCUUGUGACAUCAGGCCAUGGUGAUGAGAUUCUAACUGUGUCCCAUGGUCACCAGAACAUGGCAGUGUUGGAAGUUAGAGCCUGUGACUGGAGUCAUCCCAGUUAUGAAGGAGGAAAGAGAAAAUAUUCAGGAGUUCUCAGCUGACCACCCUGAGCUAGAUCCAACCAGCCUGCACACAAGAUUAGUCUGGGAUCACAUCCUUUGUAUCCUAGUUCCUGAUAUACAGAAAUAGCUAAGUGAGGUAACUAACCUCAGAACAGUUACUGUAAAGCAAAUACAGGGAUAAAGUAAGCCUUUCCAUUUUAUGAGCAUUAUCCAGAAAUAUAUAUGUAUUACGACACUUCUAAAAGUAAGCAUCCUAAAAUACACUUUAUUUUCUCAUGAAUUUGCAAACUCAAAAGUAACAUAUGCCU
rnacentral:lncRNA from 1 species